rnacentral:lncRNA from 1 species
AAUUGGAGCGGCGAAUUGUCUCGUUGGUGCCCCUCACUGCGCGUGAGCAAGUACUACGGCCACCCCGAAGAGCGCAGACAGUUAAGGAUCGAGUACUCUAAGAAUCUUAGCAACUAUGACGUAGUUCUGACCACAUACACGAUGGUUAGCAGUUGUCCAGAGGAGCGCAAGAUGUUCCGUAUAACGCCGAUGCACUACGUCAUUUAUGACGAAGCUCAUAUGCUCAAGAACAUGUCCACGCAGAGAUACGACAAUUUGCUUAAAAUUAAGUCCAAACAUCGCCUCCUACUUACCGGCACGCCUCUGCAGAAUAAUCUUCUAGAACUUAUGUCCCUUCUCUG